rnacentral:rRNA from 1 species
CGGCGGACGGGUGAGUAACGCGUGGGUAACCUGCCUCAUACAGGGGGAUAACAGUUGGAAACGGCUGCUAAUACCGCAUAAGCGCACAGUACCGCAUGGUACGGUGUGAAAAACUCCGGUGGUAUGAGAUGGACCCGCGUCUGAUUAGGUAGUUGGUGGGGUAACGGCCUACCGAGCCGACGAUCAGUAGCCGACCUGAGAGGGUGACCGGCCACAUUGGGACUGAGACACGGCCCAA